UACAGAGGGGGCAAGCGUUGUUCGGAAUUACUGGGCGUAAAGGGCUCGUAGGCGGCCAACUAAGUCAUACGUGAAAUCCCUCGGCUUAACCGGGGAACUGCGUCUGAUACUGGAUGGCUUGAGUUCGGGAGAGGGAUGCGGAAUUCCAGGUGUAGCGGUGAAAUGCGUAGAUAUCUGGAGGAACACCGGUGGCGAAGGCGGCAUCCUGGACCGAUACUGACGCUGAGGAGCGAAAGCCAGGGGAGCAAACGGGG
rnacentral:rRNA from 1 species